CUACGGGGUGCAGCAGGCGCGAAACCUUUACAAUGCACGAAAGUGUGAUAAGGGAACCCCAAGUGCUUACCUUCUGGGUAGGCUUUUGCCAAGUGUAAAUAUCUUGGCGAAUAAGUGGUGGGCAAGACUGGUGCCAGCCGCCGCGGUAACACCAGCGCCACAAGUGGUAACCAUGAUUAUUGGGCCUAAAGCGUCCGUAGCCGAUUAAACAACUCUUUUGUGAAAUCGUUGGGCUUAACUCAACAGUGUGCAAGAGAAACUAUUUAGUUAGAGACCGGGAAGAGAUAAAAGUACUCUUUGGGAAGCGGUAAAAUGCUAUAAUCCUUAGAGGACUACCUAUGGCGAAGGCAUUUAUCUAGAACGGGUCUGACGGUGAGGGACGAAGGCUAGGGGAGCGACCGGGAUUAGAUACCCCUGUAGUC
rnacentral:rRNA from 1 species